UACGUAGGGUGCAAGCGUUGUCCGGAAUUAUUGGGCGUAAAGAGCGUGUAGGCGGCCCGACCAGUCCGCUGUGAAAGUCCAGGGCUCAACCCUGGAAUGCCGGUGGAUACUGUCGGGCUAGAGUCCGGAAUGGGCGAGUGGAAUUCCUGGUGUAGCGGUGAAAUGCGCAGAUAUCAGGAGGAACACCAAUGGCGAAGGCAGGUCUCUGGGCUGACACUGACGCUCAUGCACGAAAGCGUGGGGAGCAAACAGG
rnacentral:rRNA from 1 species